GAUGAACGCUGGCGGCGUGCCUAAUACAUGCAAGUCGAGCGAACGGACGAGAAGCUUGCUUCUCUGAUGUUAGCGGCGGACGGGUGAGUAACACGUGGCUAACCUACCUAUAAGACUGGGAUAACUUCGGGAAACCGGAGCUAAUACCGGAUAAUAUUUUGAACCGCAUGAUUCAAAAGUGAAAGACGGUCUUGCUGUCACUUAUAGAUGUAUCCGCGCUGCAUUAGCUAGUUGGUAAGGUAACGGCUUACCAAGGCAACGAUGCAUAGCCGACCUGAGAGGGUGAUCGGCCACACUGGAACUGAGACACGGUCCAGACUCCUACGGGAGGCAGCAGUGGGGAAUAUUCCGCAAUGGGCGAAAGCCUGACGGAGCAACGCCGCGUGAGUGAUGAAGGUCUUCGGAUCGUAAAACUCUGUUAUUAGGGAAGAACAUAUGUGUAAGUAACUGUGCACAUCGUGACGGUACCUAAUCAGAAAGCCACGGCUAACUACGUG
rnacentral:rRNA from 1 species